rnacentral:rRNA from 1 species
UACGAGGGGGGCGAGCGUUGUUCGGAAUUAUUGGGCGUAAAGGGUGCGUAGGCGGUUUGGUAAGUCUGAUGUGAAAUCUAUGGGCUCAACUCAUAGUCUGCAUCGGAAACUGCCGGGCUUGAGUAUGGGAGAGGUGAGUGGAAUUCCUGGUGUAGCGGUGAAAUGCGUAGAUAUCAGGAGGAGCACCCGUGGCUAAGGCGGCUCUCUAGUACGGUACUGACGCUGAGACGCGAAAGCGUGGGGAGCGAACAGG